rnacentral:rRNA from 1 species
GAUGAACGCUGGCGGCGUGCCUAAUACAUGCAAGUCGAGCGAACAGACGAGGAGCUUGCUCCUCUGACGUUAGCGGCGGACGGGUGAGUAACACGUGGAUAACCUACCUAUAAGACUGGGAUAACUUCGGGAAACCGUAGCUAAUACCGGAUAAUAUAUUGAACCGCAUGGUUCAAUAGUGAAAGACGGUUUUGCUGUCACUUAUAGAUGGAUCCGCGCCGCAUUAGCUAGUUGGUAAGGUAACGGCUUACCAAGGCAACGAUGCGUAGCCGACCUGAGAGGGUGAUCGGCCACACUGGAACUGAGGCACGGUCCAGACUCCUACGGGAGGCAGCAGUAGGGAAUCUUCCGCAAUGGGCGAAAGCCUGACGGAGCAACGCCGCGUGAGUGAUGAAGGUCUUCGGAUCGUAAAACUCUGUUAUUAGGGAAGAACAAAUGUGUAAGUAACUAUGCACGUCUUGACGGUACCUAAUCAGAAAGCCACGGCUAACUACGUG